CGGUUGAUCCUGCCGGACCCUACUGCUAUCGGGGUGGGACUAAGACAUGCGAGUUGAGCGUCUCUAAGCCAUGGUAGAGACGCGGCGUACGGCUCAGUAACACGUGGCUAACCUACCCUUAGGACGGGGACAACCCCGGGAAACUGGGGGCUAAUACCCGAUAGGCGAGGAGGCCUGGAAUGGUUCCUAGUCGAAAAGGCGUUGAAACCAUGCUUUUCGACGUCGCCUAAGGAUGGGGCCGCGCCCGAUCAGGUUGUUGGUGGGGUAACGGCUCACCAAGCCUAUAACCGGUACGGGCCGUGAGAGCGGGAGCCCGGAGAUGGGCACUGAGACAAGGGCCCAGGCCCUACGGGGCGCAGCAGUCGCGAAAACUCCGCAAUGCGCGAAAGCGUGACGGGGCUACCCCGAGUGCCGUCCGCUGAGGAUGGCUUUUCCCCGGUGUAAUGAGCCGGGGGAAUAAGGAGAGGGCAAGUCUGGUGUCAGCCGCCGCGGUAAUACCAGCUCUCCGAGUGGUAGGGAUGAUUAUUGGGCUUAAAGCGUCCGUAGCCGGCUUAGCAAGUCUCCUGUUAAAUUCAGCGACCUAAUCGUUGAGCCGCGGGAGAUACUACUAGGCUAGGAGGCGGGAGAGGCCGACGGUAUUCUCGGGGUAGGGGUGAAAUCCUAUAAUCCCGGGAGGACCACCAGUGGCGAAGGCUGUCGGCUAGAACGCGCUCGACGGUGAGGGACGAAAGCUGGGGGAGCGAACCGGAUUAGAUACCCGGGUAGUCCCAGCUGUAAACGAUGCGGGCUAGGUGUUGGGGUGGCUACGAGCCACUUCAGUGCCGCAGGGAAGCCAUUAAGCCCGCCGCCUGGGGAGUACGGCCGCAAGGCUGAAACUUAAAGGAAUUGGCGGGGGAGCAC
rnacentral:rRNA from 1 species